AGAACUGUAGCUCAGUGGUGGUACAUCUGCUUUGCAUGCAGAAGGUCCCAGGUUCAAUCCCUGGCAUCUCUA